UGGGGAAUUUUGCGCAAUGGGCGAAAGCCUGACGCAGCAACGCCGCGUGCGGGAUGAAGGCCUUCGGGUUGUAAACCGCUUUCAGCAGGGAUGAAACUGACAGUACCUGCAGAAGAAGCCCCGGCUAACUACGUGCCAGCAGCCGCGGUAAUACGUAGGGGGCAAGCGUUAUCCGGAUUCAUUGGGCGUAAAGAGCGCGUAGGCGGCUUGUUAAGCGAGAUGUGAAAACCGGGGGCUUAACCCGCGGCCUGCAUCUCGAACUGGCAGGCUUGAGGCUGGUAGAGGAGUGUGGAAUUCCCAGUGUAGUGGUGAAAUGCGCAGAUAUUGGGAGGAACACCAGUGGCGAAGGCGGCACUCUGGGCCACGACUGACGCUGAGGCGCGAAAGCUAGGGGAGCAAACA
rnacentral:rRNA from 1 species